rnacentral:rRNA from 1 species
CUGGGAGGACCAUCUCCUAAGGCUAAAUACUCUCUAGUGACCGAUAGUGAACCAGUACCGUGAGGGAAAGGUGAAAAGCACCCCGGAAGGGGAGUGAAAUAGAACCUGAAACCGUGUGCUUACAAGUAGUCAGAGCCCGUUAAUGGGUGAUGGCGUGCCUUUUGUAGAAUGAACCGGCGAGUUACGAUUUGAUGCAAGGUUAAGCAGUAAAUGUGGAGCCGUAGCGAAAGCGAGUCUGAAUAGGGCGUUUAGUAUUUGGUCGUAGACCCGAAACCAGGUGAUCUACCCUUGGUCAGGUUGAAGUUCAGGUAACACUGAAUGGAGGACCGAACCGACUUACGUUGAAAAGUGAGCGGAUGAACUGAGGGUAGCGGAGAAAUUCCAAUCGAACCUGGAGAUAGCUGGUUCUCUCCGAAAUAGCUUUAGGGCUAGCCUCAAGUGAUGAUUAUUGGAGGUAGAGCACUGUUUGGACGAGGGGCCCCUCUCGGGUUACCGAAUUCAGACAAACUCCGAAUGCCAAUUAAUUUAACUUGGGAGUCAGAACAUGGGUGAUAAGGUCCGUGUUCGAAAGGGAAACAGCCCAGACCACCAGCUAAGGUCCCAAAAUAUAUGUUAAGUGGAAAAGGAUGUGGCGUUGCCCAGACAACUAGGAUGUUGGCUUAGAAGCAGCCAUCAUUUAAAGAGUGCGUAAUAGCUCACUAGUCGAGUGACACUGCGCCGAAAAUGUACCGGGGCUAAACAUAUUACCGAAGCUGUGGAUUGUCCUUUGGACAAUGGUAGGAGAGCGUUCUAAGGGCGUUGAAGCAUGAUCGUAAGGACAUGUGGAGCGCUUAGAAGUGAGAAUGCCGGUGUGAGUAGCGAAAGACGGGUGAGAAUCCCGUCCACCGAUUGACUAAGGUUUCCAGA